AAAAAAGUCAGUAUUUUCUUGCUUUAUAACACGCUGUGUGAGAGAUAUAACUAAGGUUGGGCAAAUGUAUCCCCAUCUCCCUCUCCCCCCCAAAAAAAGGUUGUACACAAAUCUGCCAAUAUAUUUACGUUUGAGCGUAACCCCCAGUCUCAUUCUUCCACUCUGUGGACAGUAGUUUGAAGCUUGAUUCAAGACACGUGAUCAAGUCCACUGACCCAUACUGUGAGCAUAGAACUUGUCUCUCAACUCUUCCUUAGUUGUAAAAUAGAUACUUUUUU